UGUGUGGGGGCAUACCGCUGACAUCUUCAGCACCAUGCCGAUGUAGCUUGGAUCCGAGGGGCUACGAUACGCCAUUGCGUAGGGUCCGCCUCCAGGUCGCAGCGCUUCCAGUCAUGCGACCGAUCGACCUCCGUCGAUGGAAGC
rfam:Pseudomonas fuscovaginae strain IRRI 6609 Pf_IRRI_6609_contig_11.11, whole genome shotgun sequence.